rnacentral:rRNA from 1 species
CAGCCGCCACGGGAAAACGGAGGGGGCUAGCGUUGUUCGGAAUUACUGGGCGUAAAGCGCACGUAGGCGGCUUGGUAAGAUAGAGGUGAAAGCCUGGAGCUCAACUCCAGAAUUGCCUUUAAGACUGCCGAGCUAGCAGGUGAGAGAGGUAAGUGGAAUUCCGAGUGUAGAGGUGAAAUUCGUAGAUAUUCGGAAGAACACCAGUGGCGAAGGCGGCUUACUGGCUCAUACUGGACGCUGAGGUGCGAAAGCGUGGGGAGCAAACAGGAUUAGAUACCCGUGUAGUCCCUGUCUCUUAUAC